CGUGCAGGCGGGGGAUUAAGUUAGAUGUGAAAGCCAUGAGCUCAACUCAUGAAUUGCAUCUAAUACUGGUUCUCUUGAGUUCGGGAGAGGAGAGCGGAAUUCCCGGUGUAGCGGUGAAAUGCGUAGAUAUCGGGAAGAACACCAGUGGCGAAGGCGGCUCUCUGGCCUAGAACUGACGCUGAGGCGCGAAAGCGUGGGGAGCGAACG
rnacentral:rRNA from 1 species